GACGAACGCUGGCGGCAUGCCUAACACAUGCAAGUCGAGCGAGUAGAUCCCUUCGGGGUGAAGCUAGCGGCGGACGGGUGAGUAACACGUGGGCAACCUGCCUCAUAGAGGGGAAUAGCCUUCCGAAAGGAAGAUUAAUACCGCAUAAGAUUGUAGCUUCGCAUGAAGCAGCAAUUAAAGGAGCAAUCCGCUAUGAGAUGGGCCCGCGGCGCAUUAGCUAGUUGGGGAGGUAACGGCUCACCAAGGCGACGAUGCGUAGCCGACCUGAGAGGGUGAUCGGCCACAUUGGGACUGAGACACGGCCCAGACUCCUACGGGAGGCAGCAGUGGGGAAUAUUGCACAAUGGGGGAAACCCUGAUGCAGCAAUGCCGCGUGAGUGAUGACGGCCUUCGGGUUGUAAAGCUCUGUCUUCGGGGACGAUAAUGACGGUACCCGAGGAGGAAGCCACGGCUAACUACGUGCCAGCCGCCGCCGUAA
rnacentral:rRNA from 1 species